GCCGGGCAUGGUGGCACAUGCCUAUAAUCCCUGCUACUCGAGAGGCUGAGACAAGAGGAUUGUGAGUUCAAAGCCAACCUCAGCAAAGGCGCUAAGCAACUCAUUGAGACCCUGUCUCUA
rnacentral:sRNA from 1 species